AGAGUUUGAUCCUGGCUCAGAAUCAACGCUGGCGGCGCGCUUAACACAUGCAAGUCGAACGAGAAAGGGAGCAAUCCUGAGUAAAGUGGCGUACGGGUGAGUAACACGUGGGUAAUCUACCCUCUGGUGGGGAAUAACUUUGGGAAACCGAAGCUAAUACCGCAUAAGACCGGAAGGUGAAAGGCGCAAGUCGCCGGAGGAAGAGCCCGCGGCUGAUUAGCUGGUUGGUAGGGUAAAAGCCUACCAAGGCUGAGAUCGGUAGCCGGCCUGAGAGGGCACACGGCCACACUGGCACUGAAACACGGGCCAGACUCCUACGGGAGGCAGCAGUGGGGAAUCUUGCACAAUGGGGGCAACCCUGAUGCAGCGACGCCGCGUGAGUGAUGAAGCCCUUCGGGGUGUAAAGCUCUUUCGGCAGGGACGAUAAUGACGGUACCUGAAGAAGAAGCUGCGGCUAACUACGUGCCAGCAGCCGCGGUAAUACGUAGGCAGCGAGCGUUGUUCGGAGUUACUGGGCGUAAAGAGUGCGUAGGCGGUGUUCCAAGUCUGUUGUGAAAUCUCCCGGCUUAACUGGGAGGGUGCGGCGGAAACUGGAAUGCUGGAGUGUGGGAGAGGUAAGCGGAAUUCCCGGUGUAGCGGUGAAAUGCGUAGAUGUCGGGAGGAACACCUGCGGUGUAGACGGCUUACUGGACCAUAACUGACGCUGAGGCACGAAAGCGUGGGUAGCAAACAGGAUUAGAUACCCUGGUAGUCC
rnacentral:rRNA from 1 species